UGUGGGUGUUGUAUAUGGGCUAUGAUCUCAGGCAGCUGACUCCAGAGCUGUGCAUUUAACCAUUACAACAUUCUGACUGUUCAGGCUCUGUUGAUGCAAUGGUUGGGGAGCUUAAACUGGCAUGCUUUAGCAUAUCAGUGUUUCAUAAAAGCACAAUUCUAGUAAACACAAUAUAAAUGCUUUUGAUUUUAGCCACAUCUACUUAAUUUGCCUUUAGAGCUAAAAGAGUGAAGAAUAUUGCAUUGAUGGCACAGAAUAUCUGCUCUAAGGAGAGUGUGGAUGGACAGGCCACACAUAGCUGUCGCUCCUUUGAUUUGUACAGAAUGUGAAACGCAUGGAGGCUUAUUAAAAUUGGGAACACCAGAAACAGCUACAAGAAUCUGCGUGGAAAAUGAAGUGAUCUGCUGGCCAAUGUCUAAACGUGAAAGAGUGGGGGUGACCAGCUGAUCAUCAACAACACGUUUGUUAACACCUCCCCUCUUUUCUCCAGUGGUGAAUGGUGAGGGCACAGAUAAAAGGGAAAGUGGGUGCGGAAGAUGAAAACAAAGGCAACCAGGGCCACAGAACUGGUUCUGGGCUGUUUACCACCCCUGGAGAGGGGUGUGGUUCCGGGAGGGCUCCAUGACACCCCUCCUCUAUGUUCCCACAGCCCUCAGGCUCCCCCCUCCUCCUUCCCAGGUGCCACCUCCCUUUCCUAGCACCACCUGGGCCUCCACAGCUGGACGCACA